rnacentral:rRNA from 1 species
AGCAAUUAUACCGUGAAACUGCGAAUGGCUCAUUAAAUCAGUUAUCGUUUAUUUGAUAGUACCUUACUACUUGGAUAACCGUGGUAAUUCUAGAGCUAAUACAUGCUGAAAACCCCGACUUCGGGAGGGGUGUAUUUAUUAGAUAAAAAACCAAUGCCCUUCGGGGCUCUUUGGUGAUUCAUGAUAACUUUUCAGAUCGCAUGGCCUUGCGCCGGCGACGGUUCAUUCAAAUUUCUGCCCUAUCAACUUUCGAUGGUAAGGUAUUGGCUUACCAUGGUUUCAACGGGUAACGGGGAAUUAGGGUUCGAUUCCGGAGAGGGAGCCUGAGAAACGGCUACCACAUCCAAGGAAGGCAGCAGGCGCGCAAAUUACCCAAUCCCGACACGGGGAGGUAGUGACAAUAAAUACUGAUACAGGGCUCUUUUGGGUCUUGUAAUUGGAAUGAGUACAAUUUAAACCUCUUAACGAGGAACAAUUGGAGGGCAAGUCUGGUGCCAGCAGCCGCGGUAAUUCCAGCUCCAAUAGCGUAUAUUAAAGUUGUUGCAGUUAAAAAGCUCGUAGUUGAACCUUGGGCCUGGCUGGCAGGUCCGCCUCACCGCGUGUACUUGUCCGGCCGGGCCUUUCCUUCUGGAGAACCUCAUGCCCUUCACUGGGUGUGCUGGGGAACCAGGACUUUUACUUUGAAAAAAUUAGAGUGUUCAAAGCAGGCCUUUGCUCGAAUACGUUAGCAUGGAAUAAUAGAAUAGGACGUGCGGUCCUAUUUUGUUGGUUUCUAGGACCGCCGUAAUGAUUAAUAGGGACAGUCGGGGGCAUCAGUAUUCAAUUGUCAGAGGUGAAAUUCUUGGAUUUAUUGAAGACUAACUACUGCGAAAGCAUUUGCCAAGGAUGUUUUCAUUAAUCAGUGAACGAAAGUUAGG